AAAAUAUGUGGUAUAUUCCUGCCCGGUGACGAGAGUUAAACGGCCGCGGUAUCUUAACCGUGCAAAGGUAGCAUAAUCAUUUGCCUAUUAAUUAUAGGCUAGUAUGAAUGGAUAAACGAAAUAAAAACUGUCUCAAUUAAAUAUCUAAAAAUUAUUCUCCUAAUAAAGAAACUAGGAUAAAUUUGAAGGACAAGAAGACCCUAUAGAGCUUUAUUUAAAUAUAUUACCUCAAUAUAUAAAAUUCGGUUGGGGCGACCUUGGGACUAUUAAACACCCAAAAAUAAAUAGAUAAAUAAAUCAAAUAUUUGACCCAUUAAAGAUCAUAAAAUCAAGCUACCUUAGGGAUAACAGGCUAAUCCCAUUAAAGAGUUCAUAUCAACAAUGGGGGUUGGCACCUCGAUGUUGGCUUAGGGUAUCAAUAUAGCGCAAAUGUUAUAUACUGAUGGUUUGUUCCACCA
rnacentral:rRNA from 1 species